rnacentral:rRNA from 1 species
GAUGAACGCUAGCUACAGGCUUAACACAUGCAAGUCGAGGGGUAACGAGAGGAAAGCUUGCUUUCCUUGUCGACGACCGGCGCACGGGUGAGUAACGCGUAUCCAACCUGCCCCCAACUAGGGAAUAACCUUGCGAAAGUAAGACUAAUACCCUAUAAUUUCCUCAGAUUUCAUCUGACGAGGAAUAAAGAUUUAUCGGUUGUGGAUGGGGAUGCGUCUGAUUAGCUUGUUGGCGGGGUAACAGCCCACCAAGGCAACGAUCAGUAGGGGUUCUGAGGGGAAGGUCCCCCACAUUGGAACUGAGACACGGUCCAAACUCCUACGGGAGGCAGCAGUGAGGAAUAUUGGUCAACGGGCGGAAGCCUGAACCAGCCAAGUAGCGUGCAGGAUGACGGCCCUAUGGGUUGUAAACUGCUUUUAUACAGGAAUAAAGUUAGCCACGUGUGGUUAUUUGUAGGUACUGUAUGAAUAAGGACCGGCUAAUUCCGUGCCAGCCGCCGCCGUAA